GCUAAUCUCUGCAAUGACAAACUGAAUAGAAACACGUGCUCAAGAUAAUAAUUCUUAAAAGACAUAAUUAAGAAAACAAGAAAGUAAUGAUGAAGGGCCCCC